AGCCUGAUGCAGCAACGCCGCGUGAGGGAUGACGGCCUUCGGGUUGUAAACCUCUUUUAGCAGGGAAGAAGCGAAAGUGACGGUACCUGCAGAAAAAGCGCCGGCUAACUACGUGCCAGCAGCCGCGGUAAUACGUAGGGCGCAAGCGUUAUCCGGAAUUAUUGGGCGUAAAGAGCUCGUAGGCGGUUUGUCGCGUCUGCUGUGAAAUCCCGAGGCUCAACCUCGGGCCUGCAGUGGGUACGGGCAGACUAGAGUGCGGUAGGGGAGAUUGGAAUUCCUGGUGUAGCGGUGGAAUGCGCAGAUAUCAGGAGGAACACCGAUGGCGAAGGCAGAUCUCUGGGCCGUAACUGACGCUGAGGAGCGAAAGGGUGGGGAGCAAACAGGCUUAGAUACCCUGGUAGUCCACCCCGUAAACGUUGGGAACUAGUUGUGGGGUCCAUUCCACGGAUUCCGUGACGCAGCUAACGCAUUAAGUUCCCCGCCUGGGGAGUACGGCCGCAAGGCUAAAACUCAAAGGAAUUGACGGGGACCCGCACAAGCGGCGGAGCAUGCGGAUUAAUUCGAUGCAACGCGAAGAACCUUACCAAGGCUUGACAUAUACGAGAACGGGCCAGAAAUGGUCAACUCUUUGGACA
rnacentral:rRNA from 1 species